UUGAAUUCUUGGAUGCGGAAGCAAAUAAAAUCUGAAGAUUUUGUCUACCAAUAGUCAUAGUUUACAUUCAUAGAUUGAAAAAUGUAAUAUAAUCCAAAAGAUCUUUUUCUUUCGUCCAGUUGAUGCAAAUUCUAUGGUGUAAUAUUCUUCAUAGUUGUGUUUUCUAUGCUAAAAAUGAUAUGAAUGAUAUCUUUAUUGUAA
rnacentral:lncRNA from 1 species